CCUACGGGAGGCAGCAGUGGGGAAUCUUGGACAAUGGGCGCAAGCCUGAUCCAGCGACGCCGCGUGAGUGAUGAAGGCCUUCGGGUCGUAAAGCUCUGUGGGGAGAGAAGAAAACGUCAUGGUAUAAUAAGCCAUGACCUUGACGGUAUCUCCUUAGCAAGCACCGGCUAACUCUGUGCCAGCAGCCGCGGUAAGACAGAGGGUGCAAACGUUGCUCGGAAUUACUGGGCGUAAAGCGCGUGUAGGUGGACCGGAAAGUUGGGCGUGAAAGCCCUGGGCUCAACCCAGGAAUUGCACUCAAAACUACCGGCCUGGAGUGAUGGAGAGGGAAGUGGAAUUCUCGGUGUAGAGGUGAAAUUCGUAGAUAUCGAGAGGAACACCAGUGGCGAAGGCGGCUUCCUGGACAUCAACUGACACUGAGACGCGAAAGCGUGGGUAGC
rnacentral:rRNA from 1 species